UACGAAGGGGGCUAGCGUUGUUCGGAAUCACUGGGCGUAAAGCGCGCGUAGGCGGCCUCAUAAGUCCGUUGUGAAAGUCAAAGGCUCAACCUUUGAAAGCCGAUGGAUACUGUGAGGCUAGAGUCCGGAAGAGGCGAGUGGAAUUCCUGGUGUAGCGGUGGAAUGCGUAGAGAUCCGGAAGAACACCGGUGGCGAAGGCGGUCUGCUGGGCAGUAGCUGACGCUGAUGCGCGACAGCGUGGGGAGCAAACAGG
rnacentral:rRNA from 1 species